UAAAAGGGUGCUUGCUCUACGUUUAUAUGGCACACCUAAUUGUACUUCCAAUGGAAGUUCGGUUGGGUGAGGUAUGGUUAUCAAGACAUACCUAGCACAUAAUUUUUAAUUAGAAGACAGUUGACCGCUGCUUGCAUGCGUCGACGUCUUC
rnacentral:snRNA from 11 species